UGGGGAAUAUUGGACAAUGGGCGCAAGCCUGAUCCAGCAAUGCCGCGUGUGUGAAGAAGGCCUUCGGGUUGUAAAGCACUUUUAUCAGGAGCGAAACGCUGUCGGCUAAUACCCGGCGGAACUGACGGUACCUGAGGAAUAAGCACCGGCUAACUUCGUGCCAGCAGCCGCGGUAAUACGAAGGGUGCAAGCGUUAAUCGGAAUUACUGGGCGUAAAGCGUGCGUAGGCGGUUUCUUAAGUCUGCUGUGAAAUCCCCGGGCUCAACCUGGGAAUGGCAGUGGAUACUGGGAGGCUAGAGUGUGUCAGAGGGUGGUGGAAUUCCCGGUGUAGCGGUGAAAUGCGUAGAGAUCGGGAGGAACAUCAGUGGCGAAGGCGGCCACCUGGGACAACACUGACGCUGAGGCACGAAAGCGUGGGGAGCAAACAGGAUUAGAUACCCUGGUAGUCCACGCCCUAAAGCGAUGCGAACUGGAUGUUGGUCUCAACUCGGAGAUCAGUGUCGAAGCUACGCGUUAAGUUCGCCGCCUGGGGAGUACGGUCGCAAGACUGAAACUCAAAUGAAUUGACGGGGUCAUAGCUGUUUCC
rnacentral:rRNA from 1 species